CCCUUAGAUGUUCUGGGCCGCACGCGUGCUACAAUGACGUUGUCAAAGUGAAUUCCGAACAGAGAUGUUUGGUUUAUCUCAUAAAAUCAUGACAUGACGGGGCUUGACGUUUGAAACUAUUUGUCACCAACGAGGAGUUCCUUGUAAGUUUCAGUCAUCAUCUGAAAUUGAAUACGUCCCUGCCCUUUGUACACACCGCCCGUCGCUCCUACCGAUUGAAUGUCCCGGUGAACAUUUUGGAGAUAUUGUAAACCUACUUUGUUUCUUUUAUCAAAUUUGCGUAAACCUUAACAUUUAGAGGAAGGAGAAGUCGUAACA
rnacentral:rRNA from 1 species